rnacentral:rRNA from 1 species
GAAAGGGGCUUCGGCCCUGAGUAGAGUGGCAAACGGGUGUAGUAACACGUGGGUGACCUGCCUCAGAGUGGGGGAUAACGUCCCGAAAGGGACGCUAAUACCGCAUAACAUCCUGCCUUUGGAAAGGCGGAGAUCAAAGCCGGGGAUCGCAAGACCUGGCGCUUGGAGAGGGGCCCGCGUCUGAUUAGCUAGUUGGUAGGGUAAUGGCCUACCAAGGCAACGAUCAGUAUCCGGCCUGAGAGGGCGGACGGACACACUGGGACUGAGACACGGCCCAGACUCCUACGGGAGGCAGCAGUGGGGAAUUGUUCGCAAUGGGCGCAAGCCUGACGACGCAACGCCGCGUGGAGGAUGAAGAUCUUCGGGUCGUAAACCCCUGUCGAGCGGGACGAACACUUAUCCGGCUAACAUCCGGAUAGGCUGACGGUACCGCUAAAGGAAGCCCCGGCUAACUCCGUGCCAGCAGCCGCGGUAAUACGGGGGGGGCAAGCGUUGUUCGGAAUUACUGGGCGUAAAGGGCUCGUAGGCGGCCAACUAAGUCAGACGUGAAAUCCCCAGGCUCAACCUGGGAACUGCGUCUGAUACUGGAUGGCUUGAAUCCGGGAGAGGGAUGCAGAAUUCCAGGUGUAGCGGUGAAAUGCGUAGAUAUCUGGAGGAAUACCGGUGGCGAAGGCGGCAUCCUGGACCGGCAUUGACGCUGAGGAG